UACGGAGGGGGCUAGCGUUGUUCGGAAUCACUGGGCGUAAAGCGCACGUAGGCGGCUUGUUAAGUCAGGGGUGAAAUCCUGGAGCUCAACUCCAGAACUGCCUUUGAUACUGGCGAGCUUGAGUCCGGGAGAGGUGAGUGGAACUGCGAGUGUAGAAGUGAAAUUCGUAGAUAUUCGCAAGAACACCAGUGGCGAAGGCGGCUCACUGGCCCGGUACUGACGCUGAGGUGCGAAAGCGUGGGGAGCAAACAGG
rnacentral:rRNA from 1 species